rnacentral:rRNA from 1 species
GACCUUCGGGUUGUAAACCUCUUUCAGUAGGGAAGAAGCGCAAGUGACGGUACCUACAGAAGAAGCACCGGCUAACUACGUGCCAGCAGCCGCGGUAAUACGUAGGGUGCGAGCGUUGUCCGGAAUUAUUGGGCGUAAAGAGCUUGUAGGCGGUUUGUCGCGUCUGCUGUGAAAAUCCGGGGCUCAACCCCGGACUUGCAGUGGGUACGGGCAGACUAGAGUGUGGUAGGGGAGACUGGAAUUCCUGGUGUAGCGGUGAAAUGCGCAGAUAUCAGGAGGAACACCGAUGGCGAAGGCAGGUCUCUGGGCCACUACUGACGCUGAGAAGCGAAAGCGUGGGGAGCGAACAGGAUUAGAUACCCUGGUAGUCCACGCCGUAAACGUUGGGAACUAGGUGUGGGUCUCAUUCCACGAGAUCUGUGCCGCAGCUAACGCAUUAAGUUCCCCGCCUGGGGAGUACGGCCGCAAGGCUAAAACUCAAAGGAAUUGACGGGGGCCCGCACAAGCGGCGGAGUAUGUGGAUUAAUUCGAUGCAACGCGAAGAACCUUACCAAGGCUUGACAUGUGCCGGAAACGCCCAGAGAUGGGUGCCCCGCAAGGUCGGUACACAGGUGGUGCAUGGUUGUCGUCAGCUCGUGUCGUGAGAUGUUGGGUUAAGUCCCGCAACGAGCGCAACCCUCGUUCCAUGUUGCCAGCGCGUAAU